AUAGGUAUGCAAAGCGAACGCGGCGAACUGAAACAUCUAAGUAGCUGCAGGAAAAGAAAUCAACCGAGAUUCCCAAAGUAGUGGCGAGCGAAAUGGGAAGAGCCUGCACGUUUUAGCAUGACGCAUAGAAGAAUCCUCUGGAAAUAGGAGCCAUAGCGGGUGAUAGCCCCGUAUUCGAAAUGCGAUGUGUGGAACUAAGCGUGCGACAAGUAGGGCGGGACACGAGAAAUCCUGUCUGAAUAUGGGGGGACCAUCCUCCAAGGCUAAAUACUCGUAAUCGACCGAUAGUGAACCAGUACCGUG
rnacentral:rRNA from 1 species